rnacentral:rRNA from 1 species
UACAUAGGUGGCAAGCGUUGUCCGGAAUUACUGGGCGUAAAGCGUGCGCAGGCGGUUCGUUGUGUCGGCGGUGAAAGCCCCGGGCUUAACCUGGGAAUGGCCGUCGAAACUGGCGAACUGGAGUGUGGCAGAGGGGGGUGGAAUUCCGCGUGUAGCAGUGAAAUGCGUAGAGAUGCGGAGGAACACCGAUGGCGAAGGCAGCCCCCUGGGCUGACACUGACGCUCAGGCACGAAAGCGUGGGGAGCAAACAGG